rnacentral:rRNA from 1 species
GCUUUGAGCGUCCGGUCCGCUUCUGUGAAGUGUGUACUCUGGAUGUUUGAGGCAUUUUUUGUGAGGAUGUUUUUCUGCCAUUAAGUUGGUGGUUGAACAGACUUGCAUCGUUUACUGUGAAAAAAUUAGAGUGUUUAAAGCAGGCGUUUGCUCGUUGAAUACAUUAGCAUGGAAUAAUAAGAUACGACCUUGGUGGUCUAUUUUGUUGGUUUGCACACCAGGGUA